AUGAUGAGCGAGAACAAGAACCUAGUUCUAUUUGCCACCAAACGUGAGGUAAGGGAAGUGUGUGAGAACCCAUCUAGUGUCCUACACUACGUCCUCAUGUGCAAGGAAAAUGCACCACAAACUAACACUUCUCACACUCUUCCUCUAGUGUUGUCUUCUCUUUUGCAGGAAUUUCAAGAUGUUUUCCCCGAUGAGCUACCUCCGGGUCUACCUCCUCUACGAGGCAUUGAGCACCGAAUCGACCUCAUCCCCGGAGCACCUCUUCCGAACAAAGCUCCAUACCGUGUUGUAAGGGCAUAUUUAUCCCUAAGGUGUUUUGGUGAUUGA
rnacentral:rRNA from 1 species